rnacentral:lncRNA from 1 species
CAAGAUUGUGUUCGAUAUACUCACAGCACAAGCAGACUUGCUAUCCAGCCUUUUGAAAUCCGGAAAGAAAAAUCUGCCAUCAUCUGUUUGUGCACUUGUCCUGAGAAAUGUUGGGCCUGGUCUUAAAAUCCUCGGUAGUUUGAGGCAUUCAAAUGCUAUAUUAAAGAAGACGGUAAACCUCCUGCUUGAGGUGCUGCUUCUGGUUGUGGGUUCUGGUUCAGACAGCUCAAACUCAAGUGAGAUGGGACAUAUGGCAGCCAGAGAUCUUGCAGAAAUAUCUGAUGCGACAAUUGGAUUAUUACCCCUUCUCUGCAACUUCAUGGGGAAUCCCGAGUACUUGACUCUCUGCCUGACCACGGUAGACUUGAUUCUCAGAGAUUUUUUGACGCCAGAGACAUGGUUCCCAAUUAUACAGAGUCAUCUCCGCUUGCAGCAUGUUAUACUGCAGCUUCAGGAUAAGAAAUCCUCGGCAUCCGUUUCAGCAAUAAUGAAGUUUUUCUUAACUAUUGCUCAAGUUCAUGACGGUGCUCAGAUGCUUCUCAAUUCCGGAUUUUUCUCGACUCUAAGAGCUUUGUUCAUUGACUUGCCAGAUGGAAUAUCUACUUUGGUAUCUGACGAUGAAAAGGGCGGGCAGCUAGAUAAGAAAGAAAAACCGCAGCAUAUGUGGGGACUCGGUUUGGCUGUGGUUACGGCGAUGGUUAAUUCUCUAGGAUCCGUUUCUGUGGGUGCGGAUAUCGUGGAGAGUGUAAUAUCUUACUUUUUCUCAGAGAAAGGUUACAUGAUCUCUUAUUAUCUGUCUGCGCCUGAUUUCCCUUCUGAUGAUCGUGAAAAAGUGAGAGCAAGAACUCAACGGACAUGGACAUCCCUUGCUUAUCUGAGAGAAACCGAGCAUACUCUCCUUCUGAUGUGUGCAUUAGCAAGCCAUUGGAGAUCAUGGGUUAAGAUUAUGAAGGAGAUGGAUUCUCCAUUAAGAGAAAUGGCUAUACAUCUCUUGGCCUUUAUCAGCAAAGGCGCUCAACGCCUGAGAGAGUCUCAUAUCAUAACAUCUCAUCUGUUAUGCCCUCCAGUAGUGAAAGAAGAGUUUGAUUCCUGCAAAAGACAGUCGGUAAUCAACAGCAAACACGGAUGGUUUGCUCUAGUACCGUUAGUUUGUGUCGGGAAACCCAAGCUCGGUGCUGUAUCAAUCUCGACUGCUCUAGUUGUUAGGGGCCAAACGACAGAGCAACCUGGAUCUGUUCCUCAGUCACACUUUACAGACUCGGUUGCGGUACAGAUUUAUAGAGUGGCUUCUCUCUUGUUGAAUUUUCUAUGCUUACAAGCAGAAGGUGUUGUUAAACGGGCAGAGGAAGUGGGAUAUGUAGAUCUUGCUCAUUUCCCUGAGCUUCCAGAGCCGGAGAUUUUGCACGGUCUACAGGUAUGAUAACUCAGAGGACAAGCACGGUGUUUUUGUUUUUACCCUUGUUUUAACCCUUUUUUUCUACUAGUACUACAAUAUUGUAUUUUGAAAUGCAGGACCAAGCCACAGCGAUUGUCGCUGAGCUUUGUGAUAAUUACAAAGAGGUUCCUAAUGAAGUCAAGAAGCUGUGCCUCCUGUUGCUCCAAAUAACAGAGAAGUCGUUAUAUUUGGAACUCUGUGUAGUUCAGGUUUGCAGGAUCCAUCAAGUCUUUGGCCGGGUGGAUAACUUCUCAAAAGACUUCAAAAAGCUAGUGAAAGGUAACAAUCAAUUGAUUUUAGGAAAUGCACGAUCAAUUUAGUAGCAAGGUGUAGAAAAAUGGUUGGUGUUUUUUUAACAUAUGCUUAUUUCUAAUGAGCAGCUGCAGAAGCGCAUGCGUACUUGGAACCGUCUAUGGAUUCACUGAAGAAAAUAGCUGUGUUUCUGUAUCCUGGAUUGCUAUAGGUACGAGAUUUUUUUUUAACAUGGAGACUUGUUUGUUCUUCAGUGUGACUGUAUUAUUGAAUCAUUGACCAUAUAUAUGUAAGUCAACAUAUUAGAUGCUAUGCACGUAUAAACUUUAAUGUUGGGCUCAUGCCGACCACUCAUUUUGGGCCGUUCGUCAUGCAUUCAUUUUUUAUUCGCUUUUACCUCUCAACAAAUGCUUUUGAUUGGUUCUCUCAUUAUAGACCGCAGAAAGUGCACUUCCGAAUAAACCUCUCUUCUUUUUCUAUAUGCUCAACUUUAGAUAAAUCAUUGUUCUCCAUCUUUCUGGUUUUAAACCUUAAAAUCCUCGGUAGUUUGAGGCAUUCAAAUGCUAUAUUAAAGAAGACGGUAAACCUCCUGCUUGAGGUGCUGCUUCUGGUUGUGGGUUCUGGUUCAGACAGCUCAAACUCAAGUGAGAUGG